rnacentral:lncRNA from 1 species
GCGGGGGUCUAAAUCCUAGUCAUUCUAAUGUUAAACCGCUUGAAUUGGUUUUGUAUAGAUAGAGACAUAUAUGUAUGCUUCUUCAUUUGCUAUAUUGCUUGCAACUGAUGAUGUUGAUCCUUUGCGAACCAGUAUUGCCAAGAGAUGGAUAUUGACCAAGGUCAUAAAAAGUCCAGUGCUAUAUGAAAAUUAGUAGUCGACUUCAGCUUCUUU